AGCGAACGCUGGCGGCAGGCCUAACACAUGCAAGUCGAACGAACCCUUCGGGGUUAGUGGCGGACGGGUGAGUAACACGUGGGAACGUGCCCUUUGGUUCGGAACAACUCAGGGAAACUUGAGCUAAUACCGAAUGUGCCCUUCGGGGGAAAGAUUUAUCGCCAUUGGAGCGGCCCGCGUCUGAUUAGCUUGUUGGUGAGGUAAAGGCUCACCAAGGCUACGAUCAGUAGCUGGUCUGAGAGGAUGAUCAGCAACAUUGGGACUGAGACACGGCCCAAAAUCCUGCGGGAGGCAGCAGUGGGGAAUCUUGCGCAAGGGGCGAAAGCCUGACGCAGCCAUGCCGCGUGAAUGAUGAAGGUCUUAGGAUUGUAAAAUUCUUUCACCGGGGACGAUAAUGACGGUACCCGGAGAAGAAGCCCCGGCUAACUUCGUGCCAGCCGCCGCCGUAAGAC
rnacentral:rRNA from 1 species